GUCCACGCUGUAAACGAUGGGCACUAGGUGUCCGGGGUAUUGACCCCCUGGGUGCCGCAGCUAACGCAUUAAGUGCCCCGCCUUGGGAGUACGGUCGCAAGAUUAAAACUCAAAGGAAUUGACGGUGGCCCCGCACAAGCGGUGGAGCAUGUGGUUCAAUUCGACGCAACGCGAAGAACCUUACCUGGGCUAGACAACGGUGGACAGUCCUAGAAAUAGGAUCUUCCCUUCGGGGACCGCCGGUUCAGGUGCUGCAUGGCUGUCGU
rnacentral:rRNA from 1 species